rnacentral:rRNA from 1 species
GCAGCAGUGGGGAAUAUUGGACAAUGGGCGCAAGCCUGAUCCAGCCAUGCCGCGUGAGUGAUGAAGGCCUUAGGGUUGUAAAGCUCUUUCACCGAUGAAGAUAAUGACGGUAGUCGGAGAAGAAGCCCCGGCUAACUUCGUGCCAGCAGCCGCGGUAAUACGAAGGGGGCUAGCGUUGUUCGGAAUUACUGGGCGUAAAGCGCACGUAGGCGGAUAUUUAAGUCAGGGGUGAAAUCCCAGAGCUCAACUCUGGAACUGCCUUUGAUACUGGGUAUCUUGAGUAUGGAAGAGGUUAGUGGAAUUGCGAGUGUAGAGGUGAAAUUCGUAGAUAUUCGCAGGAACACCAGUGGCGAAGGCGGCUAACUGGUCCAUAACUGACGCUGAGGUGCGAAAGCGUGGGGAGCAAACAGGAUUAGAUAC